rnacentral:rRNA from 1 species
CAGCCGCCGCGGUAAUACGAGGGGGGCAAGCGUUGUUCGGAUUUAUUGGGCGUAAAGGGUGCGUAGGCGGUUUGGCAAGUCUUGUGUGAAAUCUUCGGGCUCAACCCGAAGCCUGCACGAGAAACUACCGGGCUUGAGUAUUGGAGAGGUGAGUGGAAUUUCCGGUGUAGCGGUGAAGUGCGUAGAUAUCGGAAGGAACACCUGUGGCGAAAGCGGCUCACCGGACAAUAACUGACGCUGAUGCACGAAAGCUAGGGGAGCAAACAGGAUUAGAGACCCCCGUAGUCCCUGUCUCUUAUAC